rnacentral:rRNA from 1 species
AUUGAACGCUGGCGGCAGGCCUAACACAUGCAAGUCGAGCGAGCGGCGGACGGGUGAGUAAUGUAUGGGGACUGCCCGAUAGAGGGGGAUAACUACUGGAAACGGUGGCUAAUACCGCAUACUGUCGCAUCACCCAUAUGGGAUUAGCUAGUGGGUAAGGUAAUGGCUUACCUAGGCGACGAUCCCUAGCUGGUCUGAGAGGAUGAUCACCGACACUGGGAAUGGGACACGGCCCAGUCUCCUACGGAAGGAACAGUGGAGAAUGUAGCACAAUGGGCGCAAACCUAGUGCAGCCAUGACGCGUGUAUGAAGAAGGCCCUGGGGUUUUAAAGUACUUUCAGUCGGGAGGCGUUACCGACAGAAGAAGCACCGGCUAACUCCGUGCCAGCAGCCGCGGUAAUUC